rnacentral:rRNA from 1 species
GAUGAACGCUGGCGGCGUGCCUAAUACAUGCAAGUCGAGCGAACAGACGAGGAGCUUGCUCCUUUGACGUUAGCGGCGGACGGGUGAGUAACACGUAGGUAACCUACCUAUAAGACUGGGAUAACUUCGGGAAACCGGAGCUAAUACCGGAUAAUAUUUCGAACCGCAUGGUUCGAUAGUGAAAGAUGGCUUUGCUAUCACUUAUAGAUGGACCUGCGCCGUAUUAGCUAGUUGGUAAGGUAACGGCUACCAAGGCAACGAUACGUAGCCGACCUGAGAGGGUGAUCGGCCACACUGGAACUGAGACACGGUCCAGACUCCUACGGGAGGCAGCAGUAGGGAAUCUUACGCAAUGGGCGAAAGCCUGACGGAGCAACGCCGCGUGAGUGAUGAAGGUCUUCGGAUCGUAAAACUCUGUUAUUAGGGAAGAACAAACGUGUAAGUAACUGUGCACGUCUUGACGGUACCUAAUCAGAAAGCCACGGCUAACUACGUG